rnacentral:rRNA from 1 species
AUACGGAGGGUGCGAGCGUUAAUCGGAAUCACUGGGCGUAAAGCGCACGUAGGAUGUCUGGCAAGUCAGGGGUGAAAUCCCGCGGCUCCACCGCGGAACUGCCUUUGAAACUGUCAGACUUGAGUAUCGGAGAGGGUGGCGGAAUUCCAGGUGUAGGAGUGGAAUCCGUAGAUAUCUGGAAGAACACCGGUGGCGAAGGCGGCCACCUUGACGAAAACUGACGCUGAUGUGCGAAAGCGUGGGUAGAAAACAGGAUUAGAUACCCUGGUAGUCCACGCUGUAAACGAUGGAUGCUGGGUGCUGGGAGCAUAGCUUUCGGCGCCGUAGUUAACGCGAUAAGCAUCCCGCCUGGGGAGUACGGUCGCAAGGCUGAAACGCAAAUGAAUUGACGGGG